rnacentral:rRNA from 1 species
AGGACGAACGCUGGCGGCGUGCUUAACACAUGCAAGUCGAACGAGGUGCUUGCACCUAGUGGCGAACGGGUGAGUAACACGUGAGCAACCUGCCUUUGGCUCUGGGAUAGCCUCCGGAAACGGGGAUUAAUACCGGACAUGACCUGUGACGGCAUCUUCACGGGUGGAAAGUUUUUCGGCCAAAGAGGGGCUCGCGGCCUAUCAGCUUGUUGGAGGGGUAACUGCCUACCAAGGCGACGACGGGUA